rnacentral:rRNA from 1 species
GUCCUAGCCGUAAACGGUGUGCACUUGACGUGGGAGGAAUUAUCCCCUUCCGUGUCGUAGCUAACGCGAUAAGUGCACCGCCUGGGGAGUACGGUCGCAAGAUUAAACUCAAAGAAAUUGACGGGGCCCGCACAAGCGGUGGAGCAUGUUGCUUAAUUCGAUGCAACGCGAAGAACCUUACCUGGGUUUGAAAUGUGGCUGGAUGCCGCGGGAAACCGCGGAGGCCUUCGAGGCUGUCACACAGGUGCUGCAUGGCUGUCGU